GGCUCUGUGGCUCAACUGGAUAGAGCAGCCCCCUCCUAAGGGGCAGGUUGGUGGUUCGAAUCCACCCAGGGCCGCCA
rnacentral:tRNA from 1 species